AACAGCCGCAGGCUGCACUGGAACUAAAGGGGAGGUGACAGCUGGCUGGUGGCUUAUGAUCCACCCAAGGGGAUGCGGAAACCCAGGUGCGUUUCAAGGUUGCCACAAGGGCACAAACGGAAUCGAAGUGGGGAACAGCCUGGGCUUGGCUGUUCCGUGAGAGAGGAGCGACAGGGCAACAUGGCAACGUGUCUUCAGCCAGCCUCAGUUCUGCAAAGCUGCGCUCUCCGGAGCAGGGUUAGGGACAUCAAGAGUCCUUCUGGGACAGCUGGACAAGUCAUAAGACCCAAGUUCCAGUGUCACCUGAAGUGGCUCCCAUUCACUCCUCUGCAUCUUGGUGCCUUCACCUGUGAAAGGGAGAGUGACCCCUGCUCUGCAUGCCCUCGGUGCAGUCUCCAGAUCAAGUAAGAUAUCAAGGGUAGAGAGGAAGCGUCCUGCAGGACGCGAUGGGUGGGGCUGGCGGAAAGGGGGUGGGGCCUGGCAGACAAGGGGCGGGGCCUGGCUGCGCACCCCCUGGCCCUGGAUCAUCACCGGGUCCCUGCUUUCUAGGCGGCUGUGGUCUGUGGGAGUGCGUGCGAACCACCGGGACUGAAUAACACACAGGCCAACCAGACGCAGAGAUGGGGAGGAGGUACCAGCACUGAGGUGGGGGAGCCUUUGUUUAGAUUUGUUUAAGUGUGUUCCCCCAAAGACGCCUGUGUUGGAGGCUGGGUCCCCAGGGUGGCAUAUUGGGAAGUGGUGGACCUUUAAGAGGUGGAGCCUACCGAGAGGUCCUUGGGUCAAUGAGGGGGCAGUCUUUCUCUGGCUUCCUGUUUCAAGAUGUGAUUUCUUCCUCCCUUACAGGCUCCUGCUCCUCCAUGAGGUGAUGCAGCC
rnacentral:lncRNA from 1 species